CACGUAGGGCGCAAGCGUUGUCCGGAAUUAUUGGGCGUAAAGAGCUCGUAGGCGGUCUGCUACGUCCGCUGUGAAAACCUAGGGCUUAACCCUGGGCUUGCAGUAGAUACGGGCAGACUAGAGGUAGGUAGGGGGAGAAUGGAAUUCCCGGUGUAGCGGUGAAAUGCGCAGAUAUCGGGAGGAACACCGGUGGCGAAGGCGGUUCUCUGGGACGGUACUGACGCUGAGACGCGAAAGCGUGGGGAGCAAACAGG
rnacentral:rRNA from 1 species